rnacentral:sRNA from 13 species
AACUUUAAGUACCACCACCCACCGUCCACCACCCACCCCACUACCACUUCGAUAAACAAAAAAAUCCAACAGCGCCAGACAAUCCUUUCUUUUGCUGUACUUUUUGCCUCGGACUUUUAGCCAUCGUCUCUCAUCAGCGCAUUUUCAUCCUUUUCCUUUGCUCUCGUACCUUUUGCUCCGCCAAUCCUUUUACCCCCGCAUCUUUGGGAUUCGUUUUUAAUUUUCAGCUGAUUUUUUGAUUAAUGCUUAAACGUUAGCUCCUUUUUCCGCAGGACUCCUCGGGAGCCAUCCCUUUAUGCAAAUCUCCAGGCACUUUAAUUAGAAAAAACGAGAAAAUGUCUUUUUAGAUGGAAGGCUGCUGGGCUGGGGGAAAAAUGCCGUUCACUUCCAAGUUUUCCUCAUUAUGCCCGCUUUUUGUGUUUGUCAUUUAUAAAUUGGAAAAGUUUCCUUAAGCAAAUUAUGCAAUUUUUUCUCUAGUCGCCCUCUCCAAAAUUGAGGCAAUGUCCAAAGAAGAACCCUUUCGGCAAAAGUAACCCCAGAUUCAAGAGCUCCCUUUUGCGCUCAGCUGACGUUUUCUCAAAACAAACGUCACAUGGUCUUGCUUCCUUUUUGAUUUAUUUUUUUUAUAAUUUUUUUUUUUUUUGUUAUCCCCAUUCAGAUUUGUUGCUCGAGAUCCCUCAUUGAGGUAGGACCGCGACCACUACGAGUCGAGUUAAAGGUUCUCAAGGUUCGCGUCUUCAGGUUCCCAACGAGCUGGUGACGACUUUGCAUCCGCCUUUGCCUCUUUGCUGCCUUUUUUGCCCCGGUGCAUUCAACUUAAUGUCUUUGAUUUAUUACUGGCCGCCUUUGGCUUCCUUUCUCGGGGAAUCGCGGGAUUGGGUUUGGAAUCGGUAUCCGAACGAAUCUGAAUCUGAAUCUUGAAGCGAUUCCCGAUUGUGAGUCUGAAUGAAAGCGAAACAAUGCCCCCUUCUCAUCGUUUAUCCUGUUGUUAUCGGUUGACCCUGCUUUAUGUAGGUCUAUAGGCUACUACCUCAUGGCACUUUCGGUUUUCAACCGCCGAACAGCAGAGUUCUGUGAUUGCUGCUGCUGCUGCUGCUGGUUCACCCCUUCUGUUCUUUUCGUUUUUUUCUGCCUUCUUCCUCUUUCCUCCUUCUGGCUGUGAUGUAAUAAAUACGCAGCGAUCCCUAAAACCCGAUCCGUAUCUGUGUAUCUGCAUCUGUCUCUUUGUUCGCAUCCGAAUGGAACAUGUGCUUGCGCCCCUCGUUGGCCAUAAAUUGCCGUUGAGUUGAGGGAAAAUCCCUGUUGAUUAGUGGGAAAAAUCGAAAUGCUCAACGUUGAGCGGCGAAGAAUAGAAUUCCUAGCCGUACUUUGCGGUCAUCUGGGCGCAGAGAUUAUGUCAUAAAGAUAAAAGGGCACAACAAGUGUUGCCUUUGUGACCCGAGGUGUGUGCAUCGUAAUUAGCCCGGGGUUUUCAGGUGAGAUGGCGUCUUCCUGCUCCUCAGUAGAUGUCAGUCAUUGAGGAUUAUUCGGCAUGGGAUCUUGCCUGCUGUGCAAUAAGAACCAAUUAAGGUAUUGUUAUAUGAAACGCUAACAAGCUGUGUUUAAAGCAUUGGCUUUGAAGAAAUGUAAUUAAAAAACAUAGAACAUGUACCAUGUAAAUUAAAUUAAUAAUUUAAUUUAAAUCCACUUAAAGUCGCUAAUAAUAGGUGCUGCGUUUUUAACUACAGCUCUUUUUCAGAUAUUUAUUUCAAAUAUGUUAAUUUCCAUAUUGCACCUUGAUAGACUCAUCUGACAUGCAUUUUCAGCCAUGAUAGGCGCGCAAAUUGUUCGCCUAAUGGUUGCAUCACCGAAACAAGAACAACACCCACAAUUAGCGGCUGAACAAAAACAAUGCAAUUGACUGUGAGAAAAUACAGACUCAUGGCGGGAAAAACUCACUCAAGUCGUUUGUUUUUCGCCCGCUUUUCCCCUUUUGGACCCUUUUCGUGCCAGCUGCGUCAUACGCAAGACUUUUGAGUUUUGAGCCAAGAGUUCUGGGCCUUCUGAGUUCUGCGUUGAGUUCGCCGUUGUUUCUUGUGUUGUGUGGGGCUUAAAUGUCACGUUCGAUCAUUGAAGUUGCCCUGCACCCGCUUCCGCUCCCUUCGACCAUCCCUCUGGGGGCCAACUAAUGCAUAUGCCAAAGCGGGCACGUAGGCGCAUCAAAAGGAAAUGUCAGUCAGGCGACAAGCCCACAAACGGCAAAAGCAACACGGCCAACAUCACACCGAAAAAAAAGUGCAGUCCAUUUUGGACAUAUUUCUUAUCAAUCAGCUUACAAGAACCCGUCGGCAUUUAAACAAUCAUUACAGAGAAAAAUGGGUUUCCCUAUCAAAUUGGUAUGAUAUUUUGUUCAGUGCACUUAGCCAACAACAACAGCUGAGCUUUGGAUUCCAGGUUCUCAGUGGUAAUCCUUUGGCGAAACACGUGCAAACCCACACACAGAUACUGUGCGAAGCUCACAGAUACAAACACUCACAGAUACGAAUACGACCAACGAGUGUGGUGGGUUCUCGGACUUGUGGUGGGCUACAAAGCCACAAAAGCACGCCAGCAACAUGUUGACUGCAGCUGCUGCAGAAAUGCAUUUCGCAAAGCACACUCACACAGUCGCCGUCCGAAGAAAGAGAGGUGCAUAUAGGGUCAGAGGGAGAGGGCGAAUACAUAUAUACGUUUAUAUAUUUAUAUGUGCGAAUAUACGACUUUUUUUCUGCCUACCAAAAGUUGCCGUCGACGCCGAGGUUGCGAUUGUUGCUGCGGUGCGAGUGGCUUUUUUAGCCGCCACUUGCCAAUUGCCGCAUUCGCUAUUCGGCUUUGAAGCCGCUCGGGUUGCCAAAAGAACAGUUAGCCAGCAAUUCUCCGGAGAAUCGAAUGGAAACGAUUCUUCUGGGAAACGAACUCGUGACCGCCCACGUGUCCUACGUUCAACUCUAACUUAUAAGAACUCUAUCACCAUUUGUGUGUUUUUUCUGUGCGCCAAAAAGCCAAACGUUUUGAGUUUCAGAGAAAACUAGAUGUUCGCCAAAAAUUAGCUUAAACAUUUUCCGACAGUGUACUUGAUUGAGUGCUUGUGUUUGUGCCACCGAGUGUCUGUGUGAUUGCCAAUGUUUUUUGUGGCCUGCAGCUUUAAUUUCUUGAGGGAAAAUCACAACGACUUCGGGGGACCCCCAAAAAGGCAGACGUCAGUCGUAACCGUACUCUUUGCUAGUGCGCCCAAACCCCGGAGAGCCAAAGAACCGAAGACCCCGAAGAAUUGGAAGAGGAACUCGGUGGAACCACAAAGGCAACAUGUUGCACAUGCACUCGCCAAAAGCAAUUUGCAUACAAAUGUUGCCAACGCACUUCAAAAACUGCACAAUCACAGGGGUUUUUUUGGCGGGGGGUUGGUGCAGCGGAAAAGGGUAAAAGCCGCUUCAUAAUUUGAUAUUAAACAUGCACGCGUGUCUCCUUCUCUUUUUCUCCCAUGUGUGCAACUUGUAAAUUUGCAAAUUGCUAAAACGCAUGACAGGAACAAAGGGCGAGGAUCUUAAUGGCGGGGAAACUGGGGGCCGACUAUCGGGCAGCUGUGUGAAUUUGCAUUUACAUCAAGGAACCGCAGGACAGGAAAAGAACUGCAAAAACUUAGCCAAAAUUCAGUCUCACAAGAAAACUGAAUAAAAAAGUGCAGUCAAUUGACUUUCAAUUGCAAAAUAAACAAAAUGCAUUGGGAAAAAUAGUAGAGCUCAAGGCGAAAAGAAAUUUUCAAUUUGGUUCCUCGAUGCGGAUUAUUUAGAGUUGUUUGUUUUAUAGAACAAACUGUUUAUAUUUAAUAGACUGCUAUAUUUUAGCCCGUUUCUUUCAGUGUCUCUUUGAAUAAAAAAGGCAAGCCCAAAUGAAUUUAUUUUCAAUUUUAUUUUCAAUCUGCUUUGUGUCCGUCAUAUGAUUGACAUGGUCGAUUGAACUGGCAAACGAGUGAGGGAGUGGAACGAUACACAUAUCGUUUAUUUUUGGCAGCAAGUGUUUGCGUUCGAUUUGCAGUUUUGUUAAUACUGCACUCGAAAAUACCCGAGACACCUCCUCAAACUCAACCAAAAAUGCGAGGGCUCUUGAAACCAAAAUCUCCGGAGUCUUAAUAAGCUGGUUGCAAAAAAAGAAGUACACACUUUUUAUAUCAGAUCUGUACACGCAAUUGAAUGUACCAUACUCUUAUUUUGGGCUGCACAUAUAAAUCAUAUUUAUGAGACAUUUCCCCAGCAGGGAAAAUACGAAAUGAAAUGAAAAAAAGAAAAACAUAUGAAUGUUAAAUAGGCACGCAACGUGCGAAAGGGAUGGCCACAAAAUGCGUCACUCCCCCCAAAUCGCCUGACGUUUCCUUAACGAAGGAAAACAAUAAUCAAUAAGUAAUACAACUGGGAAACUCACCCCGCCGACUUAGUCGUAUUUCCUCCCUCUCGCUCAUAUGUGUUACAAUU